UGUUCGCUCGAUGACUAACAAGUUGUUAAUUAAUAAUUAACCCGCUUUGCUUCGAUUCAGUUUUUUCCUUUCUCCACUUUUCGUGAGCCUUUUUCCCCCGUUUUUUUUUUCUUCGAUUCAUUUUCCCUUUUGUUUUGCUUGUUGCAACAGGAUUCGGUUGUGUUUUCACCUACUGAAAAAGGCCUCUGUUUAAUUAUGCGUUUUCUCUUUUGUUUGCUUUGAGACCUUUAUUGAUUUGAUUGAUUGGCCGUCGCUAAUCACUCGUUCAACAAAAAAAAAACCGGAAAGAACAGGUUCCGAAACGAAAACAUGGUUGCCUAACACAAAGAAAAACAAAAUACGAUCGCGCGCGUUACACAACUGAAACAAAAGGACAGUGUAACGCUUCUCAAACAGCUUCUUCUUUUUUUUUGUUACCCUUCCACGCACAUCCUAAUUUCGAUUUUGUUAGAUUAUUUUGUUUGUUUGUUUUGUUUACCUUUUUUUCCUAAAACAGAAAAGAAAACAGACACUUUUGGUUUCUUUUUGCAUGUCAAAAACUUCAACAACUUCUUAUUGGGUAAAACAGAUUUCUUUUGUUUUGUUCGCGUUACUUUUGUCGUUAUGUUAUUGUUUUUCUUUGUUUUUACAUCUUUUUUUUUGCUUUUUUUUCGUUUUCAGCGGCAUUGUUUUCCGAAAAAUUAAUUGCAGUCGGUUUCAAUUUAUUUUUAUUUUUGUUGUAUAUUGCUUGUCAAAAAUUUGCAUUUCUGUGUUUGUUUUGUGUUUUUGCUUUGUUUUCAGUUGCUGUAACGGUUGCUGAUUGAUUGGUCGAACAAUGACUCAGGGCGUCGACGUUUCGGUUUCCGCGCUGGGCUUCCCUGGGAUUUGAUUUGGCAGACACAGUCCACGGACGUUUGAGAUCAGACAUUCUUUGAUCAGGGGAAAUGCUCAGCACGGAAAUUUAGCAACGUGACGUUUUUCGGGGAAAUCAGAGUUUGAGGUCUUUACGAUUAAUUGCCUAACAAUUUUUGAGAAAUAACUGAUAUGAAACCUAGAGCUUUAGGUGUAAGGAGUUGAUAGGCACAAAACUAAUCGAAAUAAUUUGCUUGUAUUUCUAGCCGUUCAAUCCAUUCUUGUCAAGCCCUAACAGUUGGCUUUUGUUUACAUUUUCGUUUUCGUUUCUUUUGGUCGGUAUCGAUUGUUGUGUUUCUCUUCUGACGGAAAUUAAAAAAUUCUCAACAAAAAUCGAUGUUUCGUUCUGCUAGCUCUACACUCACAAAUUCGCUCAAACAGCGCACCUUAAUUCUUCCUUAGUUACGGUCCUUAACUCCACAUUUGUUGUCACUAAUAUUAUUUUCAUUUAAUAUAAUCCAUAAUCGUUAUAUUUACACAGAAAUGUACAAAACUUCUUACUUGGUAUGGUCAAAUAAUGUACAGAAUGUUACAAAUUGGUAUCUUUAAUUUCCUCAUAGUUGCUGCAUUUAAUCCUUCUUUUUUUAAGAUCUGCUCUAAUAGAUAGUUCCCACGCGCGGUUUGACAGCAGCUGGCAGCUGUCAAACGUGGUUGGCAUUCGUCAGUGUGUGUGUUUCUGUGGACGCUUGGUCACUCCAAUGCUCAAACCAAUGUCAAAACAACAAAUAGUCCGCACACACGUGCGUCCAUUUCAUUAUUCUAAGCUACAAAAUUGAUUCACGAGCGUCACGCGAACAGCUCACCCCACCUGCGUUACCGCCCCCUUUGACAGCUGCAUUGUAACGCAUACGCGUUACGCAGUAGGCCUUUGCACAGUCGCACAGUCCUUGCCGAGAGCAUCACAGCAUUGAAACCUCAAUCAUCCUUCUACCCUGUGGGAAUUGUAACGCCUUACAUUUCUCACAGGGCAACGAUGGAACCCACCGUCAGCUGUCAAACGCGCGCGUAACGCAAUAACGGCGAACGAGCGCGCGCGCGCUGUCAACAAUAAAAUGAUGUUUACCCAAAUACAAUGCUGUCGGUGACAAAAUGGGGAUCAGCUUUGCGGUUUUGACGAUGUUCUGCCUUGCGUUACUGUAAAUAUAACAAUAAAUGGUUCUAAUCCCACUUGUGAUUACUUUGUGUUUCGCCUGUCAACGUUAAGUUGUCAAUCUCUUUAGACGACAGUCACGGCUCGUGUCCGCGGUGCCAUCCACGCUCUUCCAGUUAAUAUUUUGUGUGGUCUCUAACGUUACAAAUUUGCGUCAAGAUUGUAAAUAUAUAAAUAGACAUUUAGUAAUUUGUUUGUUUUUUUUCCUUGUCUUGCUCAAUAAAUAUUCUUGGGCUUUUCUGGUUCGGGUUACUCUUUGUCCAUCGUGAUUCACGAAAAUUACCCCUAAUCGGUCACAAAUUUUGUUUCAGCUCUACAGGGUGUCCUGGCUUUGCAAGAGUUUGCAGGUUCAAAUUUAUGUGUUCAUGUUAGCGGUUUUUUUUGUCAUUUUUUUGUUUUUUUUUAUCAUUUUUUCUUCAAUUAGAAAGAAACGUUUCUCUACACACUUAAAGCAGUUGAUUCCACGGAUGUAAUAUUUUGUUUGUUUGUUUGUUUGUAUUUCGUUUAGUAUAAUAGUUAUGAGCCUUAAGAAAAAACGAGUUUGCUCUCGAUGAUUUGCUUUGUGUUCGUCAUCGCGCGUAGAGCUAGGAGUAAGAUGUAGUUCUGUUUGUAUGUGUGUGUGGUUUUUGCUUAGUCCCCCACUGUUGUUUGGUAAAGUUACUAAAAUUUGAUUUCCGUGUUGCGUGUUGUCAUCACGCGUGUAAUGUUGUAACAACAGCGUUUAUUUUUUGUAAGAAAGUGUAUUAAAAUGACUUUAGAAGAGAAAAAAAAAUGAUUUCGAACAAAAAUAAUCAAACCUGCUUCAAAACAGAGGAUCUUGCCUGUAACAGUUGUGUAGGAAAAUGCAUGGUUUGGCAGUUGUCAACAUGGUUUUUUUGAACAAAUGUUUGAUUUAUCCCGUUUGUGAUGUACUGUUUGUGGCAAGUCAAAACAAAAAGAAAGGGGGCCUCGUAUGUAAGUAAACAGAAGCAAAUCGUCUAAAACAAGUUUUAAAAUAUGGUAAUACAAGUUUAAAAAAAUAUUUAUAUUUUGUAAUUAUGUAAAAUAAAGAAUAGACUAUUUCACAGCCUGCAUAGAUACCUGAAUAUUUCUUUUAUUUUGUUUUCUGUUUUUCUUUUCUCUCACAUCUCUUAUUUAAUUGUUUCCAUUUACACUUAGGGUUCACUACUACUUUAUUAUUAUUUAUUUCGUUUGCUUGAUUCCUCUAGGUUGGUUUGUUUUGUGUUUGUAUUGGUUUGCUUAACGGCCGAUUGAAAUCGUUAGAACAGAGCGAAACGUCAAUGAUUUGUUUGUAAACAAAGAGGUAAGCAACUUUGCGAACAAAAUGAGAUGAAAAAAAAUAGUGCUUACUAAAAGUACGCAGUUUUGACAGUUUCAGAAUAAUAAUUACCCAUAAACAAGUUAGCGUAAAAUGAGAUCAACAGAAUUUUCGAACUUUCCUAUUUUUUGUGUUAAAUGAAAUGCGAUAAUGUUGUAAUUUCAAAUCUUUUCAUUUAAGGGCGGCGGCGGGCGGCAAAAGGGCACAUAUUUGUUUGGAGAGGGGCGCUUGGUUUUGGUCUGUGUUGGUUAUGUGGUUUUCUAGUUUCUUCCUCUAUGUAUGUGUGUGUUAUUUGUACAUCGAUAACGAUUGUGUUAGAAUGGUGGCCAAAGGAACACACGUGUGUUAGUUUGUUAUUGUUCUUUCGCUUACAAACAAGAUAUGUUAAUUUCAUGGGAAAAUUUUAGUCUCUACUGCCAUGUGUCAUUUGAAAAGGGGAAAUUUUAAGGGAAACAUUCUUGAAUAAACUUGCUUAUGUGUGGUGAGUAUCGCUCACGCCUACUGCGAUAAUCGCUGUGGAUCGAGCUUACCAAUACAAAUGCGCUCCUCUAAUCUGCGUAUGUACGAGUGUUUGUUUGCAUGCACAACAACAACGGCGACAACAAUAGAAAAACACGUUGGAAAACGAAGCUAGAGCCGGAAGGUUUCGGAAAAAGAGGAAGGGACAGGUGGGGCUCUCUACCGAAGGGGCACAUUAAUUCAGAAACACAUACAGGCAGCUACUGUAGCAAAGUGACAACCAAAUGUUUACGUUUUUUGUUUACUCAUCUGCACCGCGCACUUGUUUCGUUUUGUUUAUAUCUUAUUGUUGCCUAAUUAUGUCUGCAGCUAUCAGUCUUAAAAUUAAUUCCCGGUUGCUCCUCUCCGCCUCGGGAAAUUGUUUCGCACCAAUAUUUAUGUUUUUUAAUAAUUCAAUAUUUCUUUCAACUCUACGCAACUAGUGUAUGUGUGUCUGUUUGUAUGUUAUUGUGUAUGUGUGCAUUUUUUUCCGUUACUCGCCCAUUGUUUCGUCCACAGCGAUGCUUACUGUACUCGACCGCUUACACGUACAAGUUUGCUUAGAAUCUUACUAACACUAACACAAACACGAGUAAAAAAACGACUUCCAUCACUCAAAAUAAUCCACACGUUGAUGCUACCUGUAAAAUCACGUAACCCCGAUUUUCCCCUCGCUAGGCUUGUUUUACGUGACACACGUAAAAAUAAUGUGAAAGUGUACUGGCAAAAAAAUGUUUUCAAGUUGAAGUUACGUGAAAAACCAUAUAGUAUUUUUCCACUAGGUUUUUCCAUGUAGCUUUUAUGUGUUUUGAAAUGUAACUUCAACAUGACUCGAGUGCGGCAUUCUACCAAAUUUCUACGUGAUUAUUUUAGUAUGAAAAUUGAUGGCGUACGGUGAAGUCCUGCUGCCGGACUAUUCUCGUUAAAUUUAGUUGAAAAAGGAAGAGACGAAGCUGAUUUCUGAAAGCAGCAACUUUAGUUUUUCGGCGGCCACUGGCAUCAAAACUGGUCAUCACCAGCAAUCUCCAGUUGGCAAAGUUCGGGAGCCCAGGAAAUCCGAUCCAGGUUGCUACGCCGAGACUUCACUAAUGUCUUGGCCAUCAGCGGCAGAAUUAUGAAGAGAUCGCUGAGCGCGGACAUCAACAGCGGCCGAUUAACCAUUGCCUGGCACCGCAACCGGCCAUCUCCAACAACCCCCGGUUGGCUGAAGUCAUGGGCAAGGAAAAUCUCGACAAUGCUCGGAUAUAAGAGCGACGGCCGAGUAGAAGUUAACGUGGUGCACAAAGCACUGGCCAACGGUGGCGAUUCUGCGCGUGGCAAACGGACUGGACUACUCGGAGAUCCUUGGGGAGGAGAUCGCGACCAUUUGGUCGAGCACCUUGUCGAGGCAGGGCCGACCUGGUGGAAAGGUCUCAUCGGUGUUCCCAGCAAAUGGCAUUUUUUACAAUUUAGUUUCUAACGGUAAGAUCUUUGGAAAUAUUGGUUAAAUAAACAUGUUUAUGCAAAUUUAACUGACUUCAUUAUUAUUUCUAUUCGAAAAAUAAGUGAAACAAAACCAAAAUCUACUACAUACUACAAAGUUCAUACAACGUUCACUAAAACAAACACGUAGAUAUCAUCGACGUUCCAUUUAGCUUUUACGUGUGAAACACGUAGAAUAGACGUGAAAUGCUCUGACCAAGCAAAUUCCGUUUCUACUGGAGUCUCCUCGUAGAAGUUACGUGAAAACUUUAGUGGAAAAAUACCACAAAGCUUUUCACGUAACUUCAACGUGAAUAAUUUUUU